UGUGUCAGUUUCUUUCUUACCUCGACUGGGCGUUUUGGCUGUUGGUGACGGUGAUCCGGCGUUGUGGUGUGCUGAUGCGAAUGCUGUCACAGCUGUUAUGGCCUGCAGCGCAACAGUUUAGCGGUGGUUAAUACCCCUAAACCUGCAGCGUCACAAGGCGGCGUCCUGUAUGCACGCGACAUUGCUCUCGGUCCGUGUGCGUCAGGCGGCUGUAUGGCGUCAACAAACUGGCUGAUGUUUCCAGGUUGUGAGGCUGCUAUCUGAUCACACAGUGAGGCUGCUGCUGCUGACAAUGGAAGCAGUAGCUCAGUCCGUGGGGGCUUGGAUUGGGAACUGGCGGGUUGCUGGUUCGAGAACGCCACAGACCAGUCAUAUGCAGUUUGGACUGGUAGCUGGAGAGGUGCCAGUUCAUCUACUGGGCUCUGCAGAAAGUGCACUCGAGCAAGGCCGUGAACCCCUACUUGCUGAGGUGGGGUGACUAGGUGGCAGCCCCCUCACUCUGACAUCUCUCCAUGUGUUAAUGCAUGUGUAAAAUGUAUUAUUAUAACAGUUUAAAAACUAGAGGUAUUAAUAAAGCUGUAUUCUUCUUAUAGGGCUUGACAAUAAAACAAUUGUCAGUAUAUAAUUUCAA